UACGUAGGUGGCAAGCGUUGUCCGGAUUUACUGGGCGUAAAGGGAGCGUAGGUGGAUAUUUAAGUGGGAUGUGAAAUACUCGGGCUUAACCUGAGUGCUGCAUUCCAAACUGGAUAUCUAGAGUGCAGGAGAGGAAAGUAGAAUUCCUAGUGUAGCGGUGAAAUGCGUAGAGAUUAGGAAGAAUACCAGUGGCGAAGGCGACUUUCUGGACUGUAACUGACACUGAGGCUCGAAAGCGUGGGGAGCAAACAGGA
rnacentral:rRNA from 1 species